GAAGAAAAUUAGGCUGAACUCUCAUGGGCUGAAAACAAAGAAGGAAUCGCCCUGGCUUCCCAGAAGCAUGGACACAGGGACACGGUUUCACCGCCGUCUGUCAGACGGGCUGGAGUAUGCUGAGAAGAGAACCAUGCCUGUCAUGCUCAAUUCUGUUUACUCCACGAUGUGGAUUAAAGAGCAAUCAACAGUGACUCUGGACACAGUCUCUCUGGCAACGUUGCCGGGAAAAGAUGCAGCUGGUUGGGAAUACAGCAGGGGCGGAUUGCAUGGGGCUGAGUGCAUACAUCACAUGCUCCACCAAGGUCGCCUGCCAAACCAAGAUGAGACAGCUCACCGGGCUGGCUGAGGAAGCUUCCUGCCCAGUCACGCACUGCCUACACAUGGUUUUGCUUCUCCAAGACUCCAGGAGUUGCUGUGACCUUGUUUUGUGAUGUUGCGUUCACUACGCUGAGCUGGUGAUCCACUUCCAAACCAAGUUACGAAGGAAAGUCCCCAACGGUGGUUCCCUUCCCGUGUGAGCUCUCAGCUACUUCUCCAUCACUAUGCCUGUCUGCUGACAUGCUUCCUGCAAUGGUGAUCAUGGACUAACUCUUUAAAACUGUUAACCCGGACUCAUCAUUAAUUAAUUAACGAGAGUCACUGUUUGAAGAGGAAGACUUCGCCUUCAGAAAUGGCCCUUCAUCGACCCGCUAGCAUUGAGGCGUUAGGAGCCCCGGGCUCAGCUCCCUGCGGCCCAGCAGGGCUCGAUUGCUCUCGCCUGGGCGCAACGCGAGCUCCCCGCGGCUGAGCUAACGGCGCGACUAGACAGGCAGCACCGUCAG